AUGCGUCAUCGUAAAUUCCCUUCUGUCUCUGAGGACGCGCUGUGGGUUUUGAGGCAGGGCGGUCUGAGGUUGAAGCAAUAUGUGGAGGGUUUCCUCUGGCUCUCUAAUCGGGUGAGCUGGGACGAUGCCACUCUAGGUGCGUGCUUCCUGCUGGGGUUGGAUGACGAGAUAAUCUGCUGCGAUCUUCCUCUUCCUGGAAUCCGCUGCGUCUCCCCAGCUCAUCCCAUGCCGGGAACCUCCACAUACCUCCCCAAUGGCCUCUACCACCUGCCUAACCCCAAAUUCCCCGCUGUUAUCUGAAGUGCCACCAUGGUCCUCAGCCAAGUAGCGCUGGCUGCUUGGAAGUCAAGAUGGCCGGCCUCUCAACAGAGAAAUGUGCCGGCCGUGCCGUUGUCCUACCCGCCGGCCGUUCAUGUGGCAAGCCCACCUCCCCUUUAGCACUCUAGUCCGCCAACCUCGCCUUUUACCCCGAACCAGCAGAGGAAGCUAAGGAAGAGAAGGCAGUGGGCUCCAGCCCCAGAGCUCGCUUCAGUGUCGGCUCCAACCACAGAGCGCUUUGGUUCACCUGCACCUCCAGAGUGCCCUCCAGUGCCAGCACCUCGUAAGUGAUUCUCUGACCCUCAGUUAAGCCCAGGGAGGGCUCCUGAUCCCCCGUUAAGCCCAGGGAGGACUCCUGAUCCCCCAUUAGGCCCAGGGAGGGCUCCUGAUCCCCCUUUAAACCCAGUGAGAGUGCCAGACCUCCAUUUAAGCCCUGUAAGCUUCCCCAAGUAUUUUUGGCAGGGGGGUAGUAUGGCUCCAGCCAUACAGGCCAGGGCGGGGGCUGGGGCCACGGCCUGUGAGGCAGAUCCGCCAUGGCCUCCCAAGUCUCCUGAUCCACCAUGGCCACCCUCCCACCCCUUUGAUGUUUGUUUCCUUCCGGAGGGGGGCGUCAUGUCAGGCUUGUGUUGUGUUUUGUUCCCCAUGUGCUCCCUGUUUCCCAGUGUUUAGCUCUUGUUUUUGGUGUUUCCUGUCCUGAUUAUUUCAUUGAGUUCAUAAGUUUCCACCUGUGUUUUAUUUGAUUUCAGGUGUGUUUAAUUUACUCCAUUGUUAUGUCUGGUAUUUAAAGGAUAUUCUGUCAAAUGUUCCAUGUAAAGAAAUAAAGAUGCAUCAUCGUAAAUUCCCCUCCGUCUCCGAGUUUCCUCGAUCCUCCCCCGAGUGAGUGUGAGAGAACUUCAUAUAUUAAAUAACAUUAAUUUCUAUAAAUGGAUUUUAAGAAAUUUAAUUUAAUACAUUUUAAUAUGAUUUAAAUUAUUAUAUAUUAAAUAACUUUAAAUUUUU
ensembl:lncRNA